UUGAUUGGUGCAAAUAAAACAUUUUAUGGUUGAAAAACUUAAUUAUAAUCACAACUUUUUGAUUAUGACAUGAUUUAUAUGACAAUUUUUUUUGUAUUGUAAUUUUUUUAUAGCUGUGAAUUGUAUUCAGUGUCAGAAUAUAUGAAAAGUAAAGUAAAAGAAACAAAUAAAACUCACGUAAAUUGUUUUCAUAGACUCUGGUCUUCUUUCUUGUAAUAUUGUCAUGCUAGUGGUUACGUGAGAAAUUCGAAGGACACGUCAAAUCGAUGAGCUCCCAGUAAAUAAGGGAUACAUUGUAUAUUAUCUGGUAUACUUAAAUUAAAUUUAUUUUAAAUAAGACGUGUUGCCAAUGUAAUGAAAAUGUGAUAAAAUUUUUUUUAAGUUAAGUUUUAGUUUCUAGUGACACCUACUGUGUUUCAGAGUUUCAAAUAGCCAAACACUUCUGUGGAAUCUCUGUCUCUGGAAUCUGCAUGACUCCUAUCAAUCUUUUAGCUUUUAUAGUUCCUGAGAUCUCGACGUUCAUACGGACGGGGAGACGUACAUGUCCAGAUAGACACCGCUAUUGAUCCUGAUCAAGCAUAUAUAAACUUUAUAUGGUGGGAAAAUCUUCCUUCUACCUUUUACAUACUUUUCAACUAAUCUAGUAUACCCUUUUACUCUACCAGUAACGGGCAUACAAAUGUUUGUUUUACUUUUAAUUUUUUAAUAGGUUUUUCUAUAACAUUUUCGCCGCGCCCACUUCAACGCCUACCAGCCGACCAAAACUGUCACCACCACAGUAUUAAACAAGAGAGAACGCUAUAGUCGAGUUCCCCGACUAUCAGAUACCCCAAACUCAGCUAGUGGGAGGGCGAAUGAAAAAGUUCAACAAUCAUGUUGAUAGAUUUUAAUAGAAAUUGGAAACAUAUUUCAAAAGUGUUGGUAGGUGUGGCCCCAACUUAUUUUUGGAUAUUGAUGGAAGUUAAAAGACAAAUAAUAAUAUGAAAUACGAGAGAGCGCUAUAGUCGAGUUCCCCCACUAACCCCAACCAGAUACCAGUUUUAACUGGCUUGUGGACGUUAGAGUGGACAUGGCAAACAGUUUCGACAAAUCGUCAAAAAUUUAUAAGACUAACAAAAUUUUAGUCAAAUUUUCCAAAACAUUUUCCUUGUGGGCGUUAGAGUGGGCGUGGCCACGUGCGUCAACAAACGUAGGCGCAGCGUCUAUGUCUCUGGAAUCUACAUGCUUAAUUUUUCAGCUUGUAUAGUUCCUGAGUCCUCAAAGUUCAUACGGACGGACAGUCCGAGGACCGAUAUUGCUAGAUCGACAUGGCGAAUGAUCCUAAUGAAGAAUAUAUGUUAAUACUUUAUACGAUCGGAAGCGCUUUAUGUCGGGUCUCGCAGACGUCAAAAAUUCCAAAAUUGAUUAUUUAUCAGCUGCGUGAGAAUCUAAGCUCUCCCCCAUCGCUCUCUCUCUCUCUUACUAUUACUCUACCAAGCAAUUCUACAUAAACAGACGCCGUGGACAUUGCAAUUAAUUUGGUACUGCUCAGCGCCAGAAUUAUUUGUUUUUUACGAUCCCCAUCAAAUCCGGGAUUCGCCAAGAAAAUGGGUUUUGUCCAGAAAACAGCGUGUCGGAACAACAACUGCAGGGACCGAACGACAUCGGCAGAAUAGCAGAAGUUCAAGUGGCUACAACAAUGUAUGAUUUUAAGCCCGGCAACAGUGCCCUGCACGUAUUUCCGUUGCAUAUAUGCUGAAACCAC